UACACACUAUAUAUGUAUAUAUACAUACCAUAUAUAUGCAUAAUAUGUAUAUGUAUAUUUCUCCUUUGAAUUUCAAUAGACAUUCUAAGGUUCUAAUACAUUGUAGGUCAUAUGAAGCUAAGCCUCAACCCUAGCUGCUCUUGCAGAGGACUUUGUUUUGUUUCUCAGCAUCCACAUUAGAUAGCUUACAGCUGACUAUACUUCAGUUUUGAGGGACCUAGCACCUUCUUCUGGGCUCCAUGGGUACCUGCGUGCAUGUAGUACACAUACAUACACUCUCAGGCACAUGCACCUAAAAUAAAACUCUGAAAUAUACACAUUGUAAAACAGAAUAGGUUUAGUGCUUUAAGGACAUUAGAGUUUAAGGUGAUGUAGAAAUACUGGUGGAUGAUAACAAUGCUGGAAGUCAGACAAGUGGACCAACAAGGUGGUGCAAUCGUACUGUAUAAAUGCUAAACUAAUCAGGACUCUGAUUAAACAGCUGACUAAGUUACUUGAAAAAAGAAUCAUAAAUGUAGACUUGUAAGUGAACUUAGAUAUUCUUCAUCUCACCAAUGAUAAAAAUACCAAUUAAGCAAAGCAAGAUAUGAAUUUUCUCUCUUUCUAGUAAAAAAAUGUUUUUAAAAUAAUUCCAAAUGUAGCAUGAUCCAUUUUGUAGCAAGCAUGCUUCUCUCUGUGUGUGUGUGUGUGUGUGUGUGUGUGUGUGUCUGUGUGUCUGUGUGUGUGUGAGUGUGUCAUGAUCAAUGACAGCAGAUCUAUCUGAAUAGAUAUAGACAUUUCCAAGUUGUGUUCGAAUGGUAUACCAAUUGACAGUUCCUCCGGCAACUUGUGAUGGUUCCUUUUUCUGGUUCCUACCAAAAGGCUGAUGCCUUUGGAUUGCAGGAGAGUCCAGCUCUCAGGUCUCUUGGAAAUACAAACAUCUCGACUGACAAGGGACCACACAAGACCCUCCCAUGUCAUGUCUGAGGGAAGUGACUAAGAGAAGACCACAGUUUACUGGGUUGAGUUCUGGGGAAGUAUUAUUUAUAGAAGUGUGCCCUAGGGCCCGAAGUAUAAUAUUAUUUUUAGUGUGAUUGAAAAAAAGAACCUGACAUUAUUUGGCUACUGGGGAUUCUGGAAAUUUCCUUUGGACUUUACUUUCCUCCUUUGGAGUUUUUGGUCACAAAACUUUGGCUUUUUCUGAGAACUCUGGAACGUGCAACUCUGACUUGAACCAUUCAGAUAUCAAGGUGAGAGCCAGCUCGGUUUGUGUUUUCAAAGCUUGGAAAAUGUCUUGCAUGUGACAGAGAGAACUCAAAGCAGAUGAGAGGAUAGCAUCUCACUGAGGUCUACUUGAGUUACUGGGAUGCUGGGCUCAGUUCUGCCCCCUGUGGCCUCCUCAAAGUCAUGCCUGCCUGGUCCGAGCUCACCUUCAAGAAUGCAUGCCUCCUUACUGUCGUCAGUCUCACAUCUUCUCCUCCGUGUUCCUCUCUCCCCACUCCUCCCCUCAUCUCCCUCAUCUUUCCAACUCUCUAAGAAGCUUGACUCUUGUAUCAUUACCUCUGAGAGUGCAUGCUUUGGCCUGUUGACCCCCUCUCCACAUCAUUCUGGAAGCAACUCCUUUGACUAGUCUCAACUCUCUUCAUGCCUACUUUCUCUACUGAUAGACUUUCUAACAAAACUAACUGCUUUGCUCCCAUCUCCCUUUAAUACUUUUCCUGAUAUCAUUCUGAGACCUUGAGGUCUCUGAAGGCAAUAGGCCCCCUUGCACUUUGAGAUAGGCCACAUCUUAGAUUCUGUCAUCCAGAGGAUGCUCAGCAAUCUGUUCUGUGAAAGAAUGUCUGUAGUUGGGGCUCAGCAGAUGAGGCUCUCUGGGUGACAGCAGGUCCUAGAGCAGAGAGGACAGCAGGUAGGACACGUGGAAGCUAGUUCCUCGUUGUGCCAGGCUGUUCUCGGUAUGAGGGAAAGUCUUGCUCCCUAAUUCCGAAUUCACUGACAUCCUGGAUGAGGCAGGCUGAUCAUCAUUUUGAUAUGUGUGUGGUUUGAUGUGUACAGCCUGUCUUGAACACAGUAGCCCUGUGGUUUGCCUUUUACUAAGAAUUGCUUCCUUUUUCUUCCUUUUCUCAGAAAAGGCUGGGCUCAUGAACUAAGGUCUUUCUCGUGAGUUCAUCAGCCGUGGUUACUGUGUGAAUACCUAUGGGCCUUAAGAUCAAACAGCCACCCAGCCCAGGUGAUUUGAAUACUAAUUGUACUGACUACUGUCGUAUUGACCACAUGAUGCUAGAAUGAGAUAUUUACCAAUAAAACCAUCCAUGUGGCUGGCCCUCCCUGCUACUGUGAGCAAUUUGCCUGUUGUCAUAUGUUUUUGUUUGAGAAUCUGAAACCAACCUUUGCAUUGCAGGAGGGAAAGAGCUUAUGCAGACACUGGGCUGGUUGGCCUGCUGUUUCCUUUCCCUGUUCUCAGGAUUCCACCCACUUCUGACUUCAGCACCUACUCCUGACUGAGAGAGCAAGUGUGUUCACAGAGUUGAACUUUAUGUCCUUCCUCGCUCCCACUUCCUUUCUACAGUUUACUCUCGUGUACACGGAGCAGCCUUCAUUUGGAAAAGGUUGGAAUUUUGACCUGAGGCACUGAGACUGGGCUCCUGUGUUGCUUGUGACCAAUGACCAGGAGACCUGGAGUUUUAGAAUCACUAAAGUGAGACACCCUGUUCUGUGUGGCUCUUGGGGCAUUACUUCUUUCUUUGUUCUUUUAGAAAGCUCAGUUUUUUGUUUGUUUGUUUGCUUGUUUAAUUAAAUGCAGUUUUUAGGCAUUAGAAGUUCUCUCAGAUAACAGAGGAGCACAAGAAAUAUCAUUUUCUACAACCCCAUACAUUAGAACCCAAUGCAAAAAAGAGGAGUCUCAGGCUUACAUUUCUAACAAAGCCUGAUUGCAGCCUAAUAAAAUCCUGGGCAGGAAAGUUGUGGAGCAUAUGAGUUUGGUGAUGGCACAGCCUCGCAUCCUCACUACUGUGUACUGGCAUCGUGUGGUUCCAAGAUGCUGGCAAAGAGGUCACCAGUAUGGAGACUGAGACCUCAUCCAGGUUAGCACACGGCCAGAUGCCAUCUCUGCACCUGAGCAUUCUGGAGGACAAGAACUAGAUCUCUGCAGCUAUGCACAUCAGAAGGACUCUCCCACCAAAAUAAAAUAGAAACGGUUAAGGAUUGCUGCCCAAAUCCCCACAGAAAUCUUGUCAAAGUCAAAAGGUGUAAACUUAAAAUACAGGUAUCAACUCUGCCAAUGAAUGAUGCCACGCAGUGACUUUAUGGGCUCAAAAAAUAGAGAUUUGAGUCAAGAGACGCUGAGGGUCAGCUGUCAUCAGAGGCUGCUUACUGAGGGCUUUGGAAAGAGUGAAGAAAUGGUGACUGAAUGAAUUAAGGGUUGAGAGUGAGAAUAGGCUUUGUCCUCAGGAUCAGGUGAAAUGAGAGAAGAGGCAAAGUGGGUCAGAGUACAAUCAGACCAUGAGGAUGGAGACCAGUGGGAGGAACCGGUGGGGCAGGGCAGAGCCAGGCGCCCUGGAAUUGCUGAGCACAGCCCUGCAAGGGAUCUUGAGAGAAAGCUAAAAAGCAGGAUGAGUGCAGGAGAGAAGCUGCAAGGAGAGCAAACGCGGGCAAGAGAAGCUCAUUCUUAGACAGAGGACCAGCCGACUGAACACAUUAUCUUUUAAUCCACUGCCUUUCAAUAGGCAGAAGUUUCGUUCCUUUAAACCUCAUUCAUAAAAGCAAUACAGACUUAAAUUAAUAUAUUUGCUCAUGGAAGCUUAGAGAGAGAGACUCAUGGCUGACUAGACUACUUCAGAUCAAAGGUUUCAGCAAAACAUACUUGGAAAUGGUAAUACAGGGAAUACAAUUUUAAGCCACUGAUAAGAUAAUGCUCGAUGCUAAUAGAACACUCGAUAUUUUCUAAGGAAUGGCAUCGUCUUUUUCCUCAGGCCUGAUGUCAUCACUUCCUACUUCAUCCAGAUCUUAGCACCAGGGUGAGCCCCACAGUCUGCCCUCCAAAGCCCUACAGCACUCCCUUUUUGCUUUUCUACUUCUCUUAUCCUCCAUGCAAACAGUCCGAACAUCCCAGCACUUUAUCCCUGUCCACUGUCAGUGUGUGUGCCCUGAAGACUCCCCGGUUCCAGAAAAUAGUAGCCUUAAAACAGUCACUUUUUUUUUCUGUUCUUUUCCCAACUUCAUACGAAUAUGGGUGUGUGUGUGUGUGUGUGUGUGUGUGUGUGUGUGUGUUCGCAUGAGUGGGUAUGCUAAUGCAUGCACUGUGUAUCUGUGCAAGUGGAGGCUAAUGUCAGGAACCAUCCUUGGUUAGUCUUCUACCUUAGUCACUACAGCAGUUGCUCAAUCAAAACCAAAGCUUGAUCGUGUACCUAGGCUUGCUAACAAGCUUGACGUGGCAAUCCGCAUCUCUGCCCUCCAGGUGGCAGGCAGCCCACCUGGCAUCUACGUGGAUUUCUGAAGAUCCAAUCUCUGCUCGUCCUGUUUGUAUGGUGUAGUGGUUUGAGUGAGAAUUGGUUCCGCAGGAUCAUCUAUUUGAAUACUUGAUCUCCAGUUGGUGCAACUGUUUGGGAAGGAUUAGGAGCUGUGUAAUUGUUGGAGACAUGCUGCAGGAUGGGCUGUGGGGUUUCACAAGCUUAUGCCAUUUCCAGUUAGCUCUCUCUGCUUCCUACUUGCUGACCAAGAUGCUGCUGCUCCAGCAUCGCGUCUGUUACCAUGAUCGCUGUCAUGGUGGUUUGACAUCGUAAGCCCCAAAUUAAAUUUUUCUUUUAUAUUGUCUUUGUCGUGGUGUCUUUAUCACAGUAAUAGAAAAGUAACUAAGACACAGGGCAAGUGUUUAACUGCUAAGCCAUCUCCCCAGACCCCUGUAUCUUUUCUUUGCCAUGCGGUGUGCUACCUUCGUGUGCUUUUAAGCGUUCUCAAGCUGUAUCGUCAUGUUCUGAGUCUACAACUUGCCACAUCUGGUCCGAUUCCCAUGACUAUUUACGACUCCAGAGAUCAGAUCAAGUAUGCCAGUGAAACUCUUGUGUGGGAAGGAAUAGCAGGGCUACUUCAGUGAUCUUCCAGAGCCAUGUUGCUCUACCUUUCUCCAGUUAAGUCUCUCUUCUAUGCUAGACCUUCUUGCUCCCACCACCGUGCGUUUCUUUGCCUUGCUGAACAGCCACCUCUGUGCAACAGACCUGCUAUUCUGCCUUGCCUUGGUUGGAGAAUUAGAAUGUUCAGCUUAGCCCAGGUCUUCAGACACUUCUCUGCCUUUUCUCUCCCAGGUAGUUCAUCUUCUCCCUGACAUCCUUUCAUGUAGGGCCCACAUUGUAGGCUAUCCAAAACUGUGUGUACUGACUAGAAUUGCUCCCAUGUCUCUCCAUAUUUCCAACUCUAGGUUGGUUGUGCUGACUUGGGACAGCCUAGCACCAUCUCAGCAUAUCUCCGUCCCUCCUCCUCCAAGCUCAUCCUCCCCUGUGAUUGCUGUUAGGGCACCACCUGGUAAUGUAGACCAGAUCUUGUCCUCCAACUUCGGCCCUCCUGGUUUCCAUCUUCCCCUUCUUCUGUAUGCAUAUAUCCCCUCACAGCCUCUUCUUCUUCUCAGACUUUAUCCCCAUGGCCUCCUAGAUGGGAAAUUGGUGAAGAAUCUACAAAAAUACUCACUAGUAGAAGCAGAAACUUCUGGGUCAGGACCAGGAAAUCCUAACGUGAAUAUUAAAGGUGAUGCACCUCUGUUGAUUCCUAACCUCGAUCCAGUUCAUAGACACAGAGCUCUUUGAGUGAAGGGGAGACAGAAGAGACCCCACAAUGCUGCCCACAUUGUCCACAUUGUAUGCUGUAAUCUCUCCUCUCCCAGUGUUCUUCCAUGGUAAAGUACUACACUGUAUUAGAAUAAAGGAAGCAAUUACACACUGGCCUGAGCUGACACUAAUUCCAUGAGACCCAAACCAUCCCUGUAACACUCCUGGUAGAGCAAGGCUGCAGUGCAUGAAAGCUGUUCUACUCAGAGCAAGGCCUUAAAGGAGUCGCACCAAGUAGAGCAAGGAAGGCCAUCUGGAGGUCAAGUGGCCACUCACGUGUAAUCCUCUUUUGUGUCUAUUCCCAUAGAGACUGAAGGUCCACACAACCACAGGGGUUUCCUACACGCUAUUCAGGCCAAAGUAUUUCUGCAAAGUUUGUAUUCCCUGCCUGAGAACUUCCACAGCUAAAGUUUCAAGGAAAAGGCCUGCGUUCCUUAGCCUGAGAGCUAGAGACUCCUCAAAGUCUUCCCUCUAUCAGGCAGUCUUGGCUUCAAAUCCUCACCCAGUACUCCCCUUUCCCCACCUCCCCCUCCCUUUCCUUCUCCCCCUUUCCCCAAAUACCAUCCCUAGAUGUUGCCUGCUCUCUAGACUUGUAUGCCUGGCUUUUUUUUUUUUUUUUUUUUUUUUUGGCUCCCUUCUCUGGAUUUCUGUGGUGCCUGUUUUUAGCACAAAUAUACCAUGUUCCCUUGUAAAAUGCUUUUCCUUCACUGUAGCUUACAAGAGCCAGGGAAAUGACCAAAAUGUGUGGAUGGAUUAACUCCCCAGAGUUGGGGAGGGAGAGGGUGUCUUUCUAUGGAUGGGCUGCGAACAGUCUUCAUAAACAAAAGAUUGCCUUGUUUAUACCUUUUGUCAGAGUCAGCAUUUUUUAAAUCUGCUUAAGGUGAAAUAAGUGCUUUUUGUUUAGGGAAAUCAUAUGGGAAACACAGAAAUAUGAAAUGUUCACUUUGUUUAAUGUAUAAGUCUAUUCCACGACAGGUGGCCUCUCAAAGCGCACAAAUAAAACAAAAUUGCUUGGCUCAAACCUAUCAGAGAAGGAAUAAGAGCCAGGUGGUGGGGCCAGGAGCAGAUGGGCAGUAUUUACUUAGAGCUUCAUAUUUUCUUCUUGCUAAGUGUCCCCCUGGUCAAAUACCUUCCUUCAUAUAUCAAAUAAACCUUCCAUGCCUUUGAAUAGACUUUUAUUACAAAGGUAUAUUCCUACACCCGGUUUCUCCUUUUUACAAAGUCAAGGGUAGAAAAACCAUAUGGUGCCCAUAGAGUGUGGAGUCUGGGCUAGCUUAAACAUUCCAAGCCUCUAUCCAGACUUUUCUUUGAAGUUUCCAAAUUUCACAGUCAGAAUUAAAAUAGCAUAAGAACUAAAUUGAAACUAGUAUGAGUCCCAGGAAUUUUUUUCUAUACCAAAUAAGGAGGCGUCUAUCCCGAUGGUCUGUGUGAACUAGGUAUAGUUGAGGCAGAUCUUUACAGUGAACUUCCCAAACAUCUGCACCCCUCUGCACCAGGCAGUCAUUCAGAGCCACAUAGGUCUUCAGGAAGCACUGUGGUCCUCUAUAAGCACCAGCCCUUGGCCAUCUUUAAAUUCUUCUCUCCAUUGGUCUAGAACUAUUAUGGCUCUGAUGUGUUUUUUUUCCUGAUGCUCAGACUGCUGUGUUCAUGUUUUUUCCAACAAAUAUUUAUGAAUUUUAUAGGUAGAAAACAAGUGUUCGCCCUCCUUCUCUCAACAAUUGGAUAUAUAGAAUUAGUUUCUUCUCUUUCUUACAUAUGUAUCUUUAGCAUGUUUUUAAUUCUUAGCAAUUGCCCAUUGCUGUCCAGAUACAGUAUCAGUGCUACAUAAUGCUAUCUCUUCAUGUGGUCCAAGAUCACAUAAGGGUUGAAGUAACUCUGAGUCCUUCAUCAAGAGAGAGAGAGGUACAGUUUGCACCAUCCAGGUGCCUCAGACUUCUUCUCAGAAGAGCUUCUGCCAUCAUGAGGUUAGACACGUAGACAGUGUGCUGUGAUAGAAGACGGACUUUAAGACUUACUAGGAAAGGCACAUCUUCAAAGGAAAAAGAGGUUUCCAGUGAGAACUGUUAAGCUCUUGAAAAGGUUUACAGAGAAAGCUGUGGUCUCGCCUUUCCUAGAAGCACUGAAGUCAAUACAUAGCAUCCCGCAGUCGUUGAAUGCUGACUUCUGUUGAGGUGCAAUGAAGCCUCCCAGCUCAGCACAUUCAACAUCCCACUAAUCCAUCUUACUGCAUAUUCCACAGGAGUCUCUUUGUGACUUACAAGAAACAAUGAGACAAACAUCAUUUUUCAUUUUUCUAGCUCCUUUUUUUGUUAGUUUUUAAAAUAAAAGAACCUAUGUUGCUUUUUUUUUUUUUUUUUGCCUCUCAUGGCAUUCAAAUUUAGCUUUUAUAUAAUUCACCCUCUCCCAGUAACUCAGGGUACAUUUGAGAGAGACACAUGCUAAAGCCAUAAACAAUGCUUACUUUUUUCCUAGAAGAUGGUGCAGCAGGAGUCCUACAGAAGAAAUUGAGGUGCGGAUUCCUUGGGACUCACCAGUGUUCUUUACGUGGCGUCAUCAUUAUUUAUAUACUUAUUUGUAUGGGAACAUGCACACUGCCACAUGGGUGCUGGCCUUUCCUUCUAUGCUGUGGAUUCUGGAGAAGGAACUGCAGUCGUCAUUCCCACUGAGCCAUCUCACCUCUCCCAGAGUGUUUUGAAAGUUUCUUUUCACAAGACUGUAGUGCUUUCCUGCUCUGUGCCUCACAUGGUGCUUGCUGGCUGCUGAACCGACUGAGAUACCUGAGAUGUGUUUUCUGCUCCAAAAGUGCUUACAAUCUUGCACAGAAGAGAAGGUGUCAUUAAAUAACUGCACAUGCUAUGAGGAAGUGUGAUUCUGUAUCACAGGAAGGCCAUGAGAUGAAGGAUAGCUUUGUUGCAGAAAUAUGGUUGGCAAUUUGAAUUUUUGCCUUUCCAGGCUAUGGCGUUUCUCCCUUGCUUUAUCUUUGUACCUUUCAAACACUAGGACAGUUAUUUAUUGGUAACUUUACCCACUCAUCCUCAACCAUCUCAUUUGUUGUCCCUUCUCUCCAUAGAUGCAGAUAGCCACAUUUUAUUUCUUGAGUAUAUGUCUAGUGUCUCCUUGUGCUACACACACACACAUUUAUAUGAAUAUAUACAUAUGUAAGUAUUCAUAUAUAGAGAUAUAUUUCUUCUUUUGUUCUUUCUUACACAAAACAAUGCUGUUUGUUAUUCAGACAGCUUGUUCACAUAACAGUGUAUUCUCGAGAUAGGAUGCCCUUCUUUUCUUCAUGGUUGAUAUGCUGCCUUCAUAGCAUCAACCUUCUGAGAGAUACCAGGUUGUAUCACUGAGGUACUCCAUAAUAGAGUGGCUUCAGCGACAGCUGUUUUAUUACUCCCUAGUUCUGUGGGUCAGCCAGUGGAUUUUCUGCUGGUCUUGCCAGAAUUUACAUGUGUAGAUACAGUCAUAAGGCUACGCUACUCCUACAGCCUUGCUUGUUCCAUGGUUGCCAUGGUUGCUGGUAGAUCCUUACAGCACCUGCAAUCAGUUCUCUCAGCAAGUUUACUUGGAAUACUUCAAAUGGGCCCAGAAACAAAAGGGGACUGUGCCCCAACAUGGAGGUACUGAGAAGCCGCCUUAUUGCCUUGUACUUGCUUACAUCUCAUUAGUGAAAAGAGAGCUAACCUCAGAGUCAGAGGAGAAAGGAAUGCAGAAUGAGCAGUUCCCUGGAGUCAUUACAGAACUCCAUAUAGCUAGCCAGCUCCUCAUUGCAGCAGGUAUAGUUAGUUAGCCAGCUCCCUAUCACAGUAGGUAUAGCUAGCCAGCUCCCCAUUGCAGCAGGUAUAGCUAGCCAGCUCCCCAUUGCAGCAGGUAUAGUUAGUUAGCCAGCUCCCUAUCACAGUAGGUAUAGCUAGCCAGCUCCCCAUUGCAGCAGGUAUAGCUAGCCAGCUCCCCAUUGCAGCAGGUAUAACUAGUUAACCAGCUCCCCAUUGCAGCAGGUAUAGUUAACCAGCUCCUGCUCAUGGACACCUGGCUAUUUCAGUCUCCUGGUGUUGUAAAUACUGCCCAGAAUAUCACUUUGCCAUAAUUCAGUUCAUAUGUGAACAUGGCAAAUCCCCAGAAUGGGAUUGUUGGGUUAAAGGGCAAAUGCUUUCCAAGUUAUCUAUGUAUUCUGUUUCUCUCGUGUUAUUUCUCUGGUUAUUUUAAGCCUGUGUUUUCUGUCACUGAUUUAGGGACUUUAAAACUGAAAAGAGUUUAAAAUUAGUUAAUUAUAAACUUAUCUUUAGAGAUAAAGAGACAGAGAGACAGAGAAACAGAAAGAGAGACAGAGACAGAGAUUAUGUGUAUAUUACAUGCGUGCGAAGAGGAAAGGCAAAGGAAGAUGUUGGGUGACUUUUUCUACCAUUCUUCACCUUAUCCUUUGAGAUAGACUCUCUGACUGAACCUAAGCUCACUAAUGUAGUUAGGCUCACUGACCAUUGAGAUCUGUCUGUUUUUGCCUCAAUACUGGAGUUAUGGGCACGUAAACUGAUGCCCUGAUUUUAUGUGGCUGCUGAGAAUUUGAACCUAGGUCUUCUGCUUUUACAGCAAGCACUCUUACUCAGUGAGACCUCUGCCCAGCUCCAAACUUACCUCUAAAAUAACCAAACAUGUGAAAUCUGUAAAUCAAAUGCUUUUGAAUAAAGUAACAUGUAUGUAAUAAGGAGAUAUGCCUCAUAUAUUGAUGCUUUGGGUCUUGCUCGAGAGUUACCAUAGAGGCAUUUAAAUUGCAUAUAGUAUCUCAGCAAGUAUACAUUUAAAAGCCUGAUGAUUUCUGUGACCUGUCCCAGUGUGUAUGUUACGUUAUAGCCAGGACAUAGACCUAGCAAACUGUGGCAAAUUUCCCCUUAAUGGAAUCUCAUUAGUGCAAUUUUGUGUUUCGUAUCUAACUCAGCUUCAGAGGGUGUCAAUUUGCUUGCCUUGCUCACUGGCACAUUUGCACCUUACUGGUGGUCCCACUUGAUUUAUUCCGUAAGAAACUUUUUUUUUAUUGAACAUAGUUUAUUUCUGGUUUCUGAUUAUUGGAGCACAUCCUAGAGUUUCGUUUUGCCUGUGAACUCAUGUCUGUUAGGUCUCAGGCGGCCCAAGUGUCCAGAAAUGAACUCAACCUGGACCACAGGAGGAUUUCUAGCAGUUAGAUAAAAGCCAGCAUUCUUCAGGAACUUGGGAAACCAGUUCCCAAUUGCCCAAAGGAGUCAUGUCCCUUAUCUCUGGCAGAAGAGACACAUGGCUCCACUGGCAUAUACCUGUGACUGCCUGUCUUGUAAGCAUUUGUGCUUCCAGGCACUCACAGUCCCACAGGUUCUUGUUCUACAUUU